UGCAGCGAGAUGGUUUUUGUGUUUUUUUUUUUCUCUCGGCUGAAAGGCGCCCCCUGGGUCCUAAGCCUCCAAUGCCAGGCUCAUCACUCUACCCUGAGUCAGGAGAGGAACUCAGCCAAGCGAAGAGAGGCAGAAAAGUUCAGGUUGUGCUUAGCAGUGGUUCAGCUUGAGACCUGCACUGUCUGCAUCCCCGGGGCCUUUCAUCUCUUCUGUUUCCAUUUGUCACAGCUUCCCAGAAAGUGGGCUGUGGCAGAAUGCAUCUCGCCUGACUCCAGCCAGCUGCAGGUGUCUGGAAGAGGGUUGAAGAUGGUCAGAUGCUAAGGGCAGAGCCCCUCUUCUUCUCUCCACCCCCAAGCCGCAAGUGCCAGGGUAAGAAAGCUGAGAUUCAGAAGUGUUCUGCACAAGAGAGCCAAUUUUUGGAUGCUGCCACACAGAGAGAGACAACAGCCAGUCAGUCUUGAAGAGCAGCAGCCAACCAACAGAGAGAUGGCCACUUCCCCAUGGCCUCCCGGCCCCUGUCCACAGCCCCGCCUCAGACAGGAGCAGGGGGGAUGUGGCAGAGGACAGACCGCCUUCCGCCACCCUCCACUCAGGCCACCAGGGCCAUGGCCACAUCUAGCUUCCCUGGGAGUGGAGGCCGAGAGCUUUGAAGGAGAGCUUGACCUGGACAUUUUUAAGUACCAGCCUGUGUAAUCCUCACAGCAGCUGUGAGAAUAAGAGCUGUACCUGCCAGAGCACACCCGGUUAGAAAGAGGUGGUGCUGAGAUCUGCAUCCGCUGGCCAUCUCUGGAGAUCACCAUGAGACAGGGUCCCUGGUGACCGCCCGGGGAAGGGGCAGGUGCAGCGCCGUGGAAGGUCAGAGGAGGGCAGAGGCAAAGAAGGCCAUGGAAAUGGACAAGAGGAGCCGCCCCGCCAUUAUGCACCAUGUUCUGCACAGCUUUUCUCGCCACAGCCCGAGGAGCCCGAGGAGACGCCAGGCAAGGGGCCAGGGGCCUCUGCUUGCUGCCCAGGCCUCAAGCCACAGGAGAAAGCAACAUUCACCUUUAAUUGCAUCACAGACCAAACGUUAACCCACUGAAGACCCGCCACCCCGUUAACUGGCUAGAAUGGGGCUGUUCCUGCGGCUCCACUGAACAGAAACAGAUCCUGAGAUCCUGAGACCUUAAGGUAAGCAUCUGAACACUGUCACCAUGUACAACGUCUAUCUAUUGCUUUACUGUACAAUCAGAGCGAGAAACAAAUGCAUUCGAUGCUGUGGAGGUAGAAGACACCGUGGUUGCCACCCCAACCCCAGAUGUCUGCAUCAGGACCAGCUGAGCUCUUCUUAGUCGUUAUCUUUUGAAUAAAUGUUACGCAUUUGAAUAGAACAAUUUAUGCUAACAAAAUACAGUUGACCCUUGAACAGUUUUCCAGGGUUUGAACUGAACGAGUCCACUUAUAUGCGAAUCUUUUUCAACAGUAAAUACUACGGUAGGUGGUACACCAUCUGCAGUUUGCUGAACCCGCAGAUGUGGAACCGCGGACGUGGAAGAAUCACAUACACAGAGGGCCGACACUAAGUUAUAUGUGUAUU